AUGGCCGCCGCCUGGCGCCGGGGCUAAGUGGCCGCCGGCGUCCGGGUACCCGAGGGCUCUCCCGCGUUGCUGGCACCGCUGGCGCCGCGGUCUCGUAGCGCAUGGGCCUCCUCCGAGGCGGGCUCCCAUGCGCUCGGGCCAUGGCGCGCCUGGGCGCUGUGCGCUCCCACUACUGCGCCCUGCUGCUGGCCGCGGCGCUGGCCGUCUGCGCCUUCUACUACCUCGGCUCAGGCCGGGAGACCUUCUCCAGCGCCACCAAGAGGCUGAAGGAGGCCCGCGCCGGGGCUCCCGCCGCGCCCUCGCCGCCCGCGCUGGAGCUAGCGCGGGGCUCCGUGGCGCCAGCCCCCGGCGCGAAGGCCAAGAGCUUGGAGGGCGGCGGUGCCGGGCCGGUGGACUACCACCUGCUGAUGAUGUUCACCAAGGCGGAGCACAAUGCCGCGCUGCAGGCCAAGGCCCGCGUCGCGCUGCGCUCACUGCUGCGCCUCGCCAAGUUCGAGGCGCACGAGGUGCUUAACCUUCACUUCGUGAGCGAGGAGGCCAGCCGCGAGGUGGCCAAGGGCCUGCUGCGGGAGCUCCUGCCGCCCGCCGCUGGCUUCAAGUGCAAGGUCAUCUUCCACGAUGUUGCUGUGCUGACGGAUAAGCUCUUCCCCAUCGUGGAGGCCAUGCAGAAGCACUUCAGUGCUGGCUUGGGAACCUACUACAGUGACUCCAUCUUCUUCCUCUCGGUCGCCAUGCAUCAGAUCAUGCCCAAAGGGCUACAGAGCCAGGAAGAGGAGCAUAGAAAGAAAAAGGAACAGGAAAUUGUUCAAAAGAAGUUCAUGAAAUGAGAAAAGCAGCAGGAAACAGCUCGGGAAUCGGCGAGGCUGCAGCCGAAGGAAGACAUCUUCCUUUUAAGCAGUGACUCGGGAAUCGAGGCCACUUCCAUCCUGUAACGACGCCAUCUGGAGCAUGUGGCUUCCAGGGGAGCAGUGGCUGAGGCCCUGCAGUGGCUUCUCACUGCUACAGUCCAGAGUUGCACACAGCACUUCUGCUCAUAGUCCAUCAGCCAGGAGCUAGUCAUGUGGCCACCUCGCUGCAAGGAUCCAGGAAGGCAGAGUGCGGGAAUCUCCAUCUGAACAGCCCAUGGGUGCAGCAAAGUCAACAUGCAACACAGAACUCAUUGUCGUCCUCUCCCCAAAUGUGCCCUUUCCGAAGCUUGGCUAAUGACAGGUUGCUUGAGCCAGAAACAAAGGAAUGGUCUUAGACUUCCCUUCUGUCCGCAUUCCCCCAGUUCCAUCUCACACAUGUCUCCUGAGAGCUUCUGCCCUCUGCUUCUGUCCGCCGGGCUGGUGCUCAGCCAGUGCACGCUGCGUGGCCCUCCUGACUGUAGAAGAGCCUCUCUUGUUAUGGGGAGAGGACUUCUCUGUCUUCCGAGGACUUAGGCCGAGCAUUACUGCCUGUGUGUACUUCCCUGACCGCUCUGCCCUGGCAGAAUUUGAUGCUCAACAACUGUGGCUCUGAGGGCACAGCCCCGAUUGCUCUGGGGUAGAGCUUUUUCAUCGUUGCUCUAAGUUUCUUAAAUGGGGAAGCUCUUUACCAAGUGAACCUGGUUCUGUGAGUCUUGUAUUUCCUCCUUUUAAAAAAUAAUAGUUGUUGUUGAAUGUGUACUAAGGGACAAUCCAAGCCCUCAUGGAGCUUACAGUCUUAUGAGAGAGGCCAACCAUAGAUAAGUAAACAAACAGAUGUACAACUGUGGCUGGGCACGGUGGCACACUCAUGUAGACCCAGCUUCUCAGGAGGCCAAGGAGGGAGGAUCGCUUGAGUCCAGUCCGAGACCAGCUCAGGCAACAUAGUGGGACCCAAUCUCUAUGAAAAGAAGAAGGAGAAGGAGAAGAGGAAGGGAAAGGGGACGAGGAGGAGGCAGCCAAGGGGAGGAGGAGAAGGAGGAAGAGGAAGAAGAGAAAGGGAAGGGAAGGGAGGGAGGGGGGAGGGAAGGAAAGGAGGGAGGGAAAGAGGGAAGGAAAGGAAAUAGCUAGGCAUGGUGGCAUGCUCCUAUAGUCUCAGCUACUCAGGAGGCUGAGGCAGGAGGAUCACUUGAGCCCAGGAGUUCAGGACCAGCCUGGGCAACAUAAUGAGACUCUGUCUUUUAAAAAAAAUUAAAAUUAACCGGGUGUAGUGGUGUGCACCUGUGGUCUCAGCUGUUCAGGAGGCUGAGGUGGGAGGAUCACUUGAGCCCGGGAAAUCAAGGCUGCAGUGAGCUGUGAUUGUGCCACUGCACUCUAGCCUGGGUGACCAAGGGAGACCCUAUCUCAGAAAAAAAAAGGUAUAAUUGCCAACUGUGGGAAGUCCUAAGAAGAAAAAGAGUAGGCUGCUGUGAGGAAGAGAGCCCGUGUGUUUCCUCUUCCCAGGAUCCACUCCUCUGCCUCCUCUGCAGAGGAAAAGUGAAAGCCUCAUUUUCUUUUGAGGCUCUAGACAAAGGGUCUCUAGACAAAGAUGGGGUGGUGUGUGGAAGGUUUCCUGAUUGCCAGUAGCAAGGCUGGCAGGAGGCUGGCUUAUAUGAAGCUGACCAAUGAAAUGAUCUACAGCCCUCGUUAAAAAAGAAAAAAUCACCAGAGAAGUGUCUGCCUGGCCUGGUGUCCUCCUUCUGCCUUGAGCUUCCUCUCCAUCCUCUGACUGAGGGACUCUGAGUAUGUCACUCUGCUCCUGCAACCCGAGGGAGCCAGCGGCUGUUCUCACCAGUGCCUACUGACACAGCCCUUAGUCUCGUGACCUGGGGAAGACCCCAGCAAUGACAUCUCCACAAUUCCUGUCAGGGAAAUGAGGUCAUUGCCACUCAUGGCCCAUAGGAGGGACUCCCUGGUGGGAGCUGGGUGCUCUCCUGGACAGCGAGCCGGUGCGGGAUGGCCUGAGAUGCAAAGCUCCUUCUGCUUUCUAAAGUGAAGUUCACUUUAUCCACGAUGCCUUUCAGUAGGAUUCCCCUGAGCCCGUACUUUACCCCGAGUCAGUGGACUACUGUGGUGGGGAGGGUGGAGGAAGGGAAUUUGGAAAAGUGGGAAGCUCACUGGCCAUUUGAAAACCAGAAAGGAAAAUGAAAGGUCUUUAAAAUGAUGCUUUUAGUCAUUAGGAGCAUACGAUUCAGUGAAUAAAAAUAGAGUUUCAUGUCCGUUUUUAGGUGCAUAGCAAGGCUGUGCUGGGAGCUGUUCUUCCGCCCAGUCUUAUAUGAACCAGAAUGUUACUUAGUGUCGAGCACCUCCUAGGUAACAACACAAAGGAGAAUGAGGCCAGGAGCAGAACCAGGCCAUAAUGGCCAGGCAGAUGCUGGGGGAGGAGACGCUGCGUCUUUCCCUGAGCCUUCCUGGUAUUUUCUUUCCUUGAGGAGUAGCAGCUACACUCUCUGUCUUUGGCCCCAGCCUCACAAAAGUUAGCCAGGGGACCUAAAAUGCAGGGGAGAUGCGGUUCCCUAGUGGGAGAGCUCUAUGACAUCUCUCAGGGUGAGCAUCUCCACUGUUGGGAGCACCGUCUAGAGAGCCAGAGCUCCUGAUGGACUUGCAAGAUGUGUACCAGGACGCCAGGAUCAGGGUAGAGGCAUGGAGAGGUGCCAAGUCUUGAAAGUAGGGGUGUCGAUCAGCCCCGGGGGGCUGCCAAACCACUCCUCUCUAAUGCCUAAAGCCCCUCACCCGAUCAGGUGUGUCCACCUAGCUCUCUAGCCACGGCUUUAAGCUUUAGUACCUUUCUUCCUCACUCACCCAUGCUCCAACUCCACUGGUUCUCCUCCCCGCUUUUUAACAGAAAUGUGCUAAAUGCAUUCCUUGAUUUUUCACUAGUGACUCCCUUUGCCCUCUUUCCCCAAAUCUUUGCAUUUCUGUUUCCCCACAGUUCAAGUUUCAGCUCAAAUGUUGCCUUUUGAAAAGCCCUUCCCUGACUAUCCGAUGCCAGUAGCUCUCACAAUGUCACAUUCUCCCCCAUCACCCUAUUUUAUUUUCUCCGAAACACUUACUGCCAUCUGAGGCCAUCUUGUCUACUCUGUAAGUUACAGGAGUGGGACCCCUGCCUGUCUUUCCCCUGCCUUAUCUGCAGUGGCUAGAGCAGUGCCUGGUUCACAGUAGGGGUGUAAUAAAUAUUCGUUGAAUGAUUGAAAGAAUGCAAAGUUGUUAGUCAUGAACAGGGAAGGCAUCCAUGUCUUAGAACUUUGCAGUGUGUUGUUGCUGGCUGCGGGUACUGUUGAUGGGACACUCACUCAGAGGUUCCGGCUUGGUACUUCCCCUGGCCCCGGAGAGAACCUGGGACCGUGCUCACGUUCAGCAGUGCCCAGCUGGUAACUUCUUGGGGCAGUGUUUUUCCUCCUGAGCGAAACACUUCGAGCAGCAUCUUGUUUCUGUUUUUAUUCCAGCAUGGCAAGCCUCUCGUUAGGUGCAGGAGGAAACCUUGGUGCAGUUCCAGGUUUUUCUUUUGAAAAGCAGAAGGGCUCUGUCUGUCUUGGAGCAGAAAAUCCCAGAUCGCCUGGGCUAGAAGUGCUUUUGACCAAUUUUGUUAAUGUUAAAGGAAUUAAAGUUACCAACCAUCAUGAUGGUACUUAAAAUAUGAAUGAAGGUACAAGUGUUUUAAAAAGAAAACAAAACUCAAACUGGCUCCCCUGGAAAAGGAACAUCCCUUUUCCUUUUGGUACGUGUUCAGCGUUUCUGUGACCACACAAUUAACGCCUGGCUUUAUAACUGAAAUCACUUGGGAAUUCUUUUAAGAUUGUUCAAAUCUUCCAUCACUGACAGUUACCAAACUCUGUACCUGGAUGUUUAUCACUUAACUAUUAAUGACUCCAGUAAAGUCACAAAUAACUGUUGUAUGAAUUGCACAGAGGCAACCUCAUCUCUUGAUAUUGGACUAGAAUAUUCAGAAAGCAAAUUUGCCCUGACCUGGCAUUCUGGGAACCAGACCAUGAAUACAGACCUGUGGGGAAGCGACCUGUUUUGGAAGAGGAGAGAAAGGGCAGGGCAUGGCGUCUCUGCCUCAUCAGAGCAGUACACGCUUUUUGUUUGUUUGUUUGUUUGACAUCCAUGGAGAUCGGGAAACUGCAGGUUUAAGAGUACAAUCAAGACACCAAUAAUCCAGAUACCACCUGCCUGGAUAAGGUUAAAAUGUCUUAGUUUCCAUAGGAAUGCCAAAGUUUUUCGUUCAUGCAGGCGUGUAGGAAAUUAAACCCCAAGAAAGGCCAAGUCAGAUUUCUUAAUCCACCCCAAGUGAUGACAUUUGAAGUCUGGGUUUAUGGUUGGAAAGUGACCGGGUAAAAAUAGCACUGACUGACUCAACAAAUACACCAUCUCGGGCUCCCAGAGCUGUUGAUGUGUGCGGACGCUGGUAACAGACCCCAGGGCUUGGCCGUUCAGAACCUGCCCUCCUGUGGGAAGGGUAGGGCUGCCAGGAGAACUUAGGCUUGCCUGUGGCAUCUCCUGCCCAGGUGCCCAGCUCUUUCCAUGCCCAGUUCCCGAAGCGUGCGGUCCAGGCUCACCCUGUGCCUUUGCUGGCUGUUAACUCAGAGGGAAGCCCGUUGGCUGCUUUUGCUGUUGGGUUUGGAUGGUCUGUAUCACUUUAGGCAGUAGCAAGUUCAUCACCUUCCACCUCAUUGUCUGCAGUGAGGUUUACACAGUCAUUUAAAUCUGACAGGAAGGGAAUUGCUUUGCCUCAGUUUACCUCCCUGGACACAGAGGUUUGACUGAACUUUCCCAUUCAUGAGCUCGUGUCCUCACCUAUUUCUGAGGCUGCUCUUUCAUGGCUGGAUUACUUUUUUUUUUUGGUUAAGACGGAGUUUCACUACAUUGCCCAGGCUGGACUCGAACUCCUGUGCUCAAGGGAUCCUCCUGCCUUGGCCUCGCGAAGUGCUAGGUUUACAGGUGACAGUCACUGCUCUGGCUUAGUGGGUUCCUUUAGGCCUGGAGCUCUGAGAAUGCAAAUUGGCCUCUGGGAAAGGCUCAGUCUCUGGAGGCUUGAGGAUUUUUCUAAGCUGCUCAGAUACUCAGAGCAUCUGCUCUUUCCAAGAUGUACUUGGCAAGAAGAGAUGGGGAAAUGUAGCAUAAAUACAGCUAGAUGAAUGACAGGAAACGAAGCCAGGUGAGAUGAACUCUCAGCUUAUUGUUUGAUUUUUCUUUGACAAAUGCAUUUGGAAGUCCAGUCAACCAUCUUGUGGUGAAGCAGGAAGGUUGCAGAAGCUUGGAGCGGACUUGGCUUCGGAAGAAGGUUGUAUAAAUAGGUGCCUCUGUUGACUUUGAGAAGGAAUCCUAAAGAAAGUUGCGGUCAUGGCUAAAUGCCUUAAAUCUCAUGCACAUUGACUAAAAGAUGGGUGUUUUCUGUGAGGUAGUUAAUUAAUUUCUUUUAAAAUGUUUUCAAAAGCAAUAUAUGUCCAUUUUGGAAACAUGAAAAAUACUUUAAAAAUAAUUGCACACUUAUUCCAGUGGUAUUUUGUAUAUUUUCUUCUGGUUUCAUAUGUGUGUGUAUAUACACACAUAUAUAUAAAUAUAUACAUUAACGGCCAGGCGUGGUGGCUCACGCCUGUAAUUCCAGCACUUUGGGAGGCCGAGGCUGGCGGAUCACUGAGAUUGGGAGUUCAAGACCAGCCUGAUCAACAUGGAGAAACCCUGUCUCUACUAAAAAUACAAAAUUAGCCGGGCAUGAAAUCCCAGCUACUUGGAAGGCUGAGGCAGGAGAAUCGCUUGAACCUGGGAGGCAGAGGUUGCGGUGAGCCGAGAUCGUGCCAUUACACUCUGGGCUGGGCAACAAGAGCAAAACUCCAUCUCAAAAAAAAAAAAAUAUAUAUAUAUAUAUAUGUACACACACACACAUUAAUAUACAUUUGACACACUGAUACUCCUACAUAGAACAUAUAUUACAAUAUUAUAUAGUUAUAAUUUCAAAUAUUUAUCCCUGUGAUUACAAAAGUGUGUGUGUGUGUUUGUAUAUAGUAGAAAACUAGGAAGACUAUAGGGAAGAAAUUUAAAAUACAGUCGCUCCUUUACUUAUGGGGGGGGCUAUAGCCCAAUAAACCUAUCGUAAAUAAAAAAUAUCCUAAGCUGAGAA